CAGGCCUAACACAUGCAAGUCGAACGAGACCUUCGGGUCUAGUGGCGCACGGGUGCGUAACGCGUGGGAAUCUGCCCUUGGGUUCGGAAUAACAGCGAGAAAUUGCUGCUAAUACCGGAUAAUGACGUAAGUCCAAAGAUUUAUCGCCCAGGGAUGAGCCCGCGUAGGAUUAGCUAGUUGGUGGGGUAAAGGCCUACCAAGGCGACGAUCCUUAGCUGGUCUGAGAGGAUGAUCAGCCACACUGGGACUGAGACACGGCCCAGACUCCUACGGGAGGCAGCAGUGGGGAAUAUUGGACAAUGGGCGAAAGCCUGAUCCAGCAAUGCCGCGUGAGUGAUGAAGGCCUUAGGGUUGUAAAGCUAUUUUACCCNGGGAUGAUAAUGACAGUACCGGGAGAAUAAGCCCCGGCUAACUCCGUGCCAGCAGCCGCGGUAAU
rnacentral:rRNA from 1 species